rnacentral:lncRNA from 10 species
UUAGCGCCUCUUCAAAGUCUCUGUGGCACUGCAUUUGGAAGGCUUCUAAAGGCUGCCUGCAUUCCUUGGCUCAUGGCCUGCAUCAUUCCAACUUUGCUUCUGUCAUCACAUCUCUUCUAACUCUGACGCUCCUGCAUCCCUCUAUAACAACGCUUGUGAUUACGUUAGGUCCACCUCAUAAUCCAAGGGUCAUUGUUGAGAGACAAAAUGAGAUCAUGUCUGGGAAAAUACUUCUAAAUUAUCAACUCCCUUUCUAUGGAAGAGGAUGACCAAAGAAGGAUGCACUCCUUGUCUGGAAUUAUGCCAGAGGUCUUAAAAUGCUCAGAAAUGAAAUCAGCCUUCUUCCCUGUCCUAAGAGGCUCAGGUUUUCGGCAAGUAACUCAUAAAAUUAAUGCUCCACUGAAAAUAAAAUCUGAUUUGAGUAGUAUCAGCACUUAGAAGACCUUUGGAGGCCGGGGGUAUUUUCUCUUUUACAAUGCUGUGAACAACAUUCACUCCUGGAAAACACUCCAAUGUCUUACAUCUUGAGGCUGUGGGGAUUUUUUUUUCUUUUGGUUUAAAUGUUGCCUUUCCUAUCUUUCUGCAUAUCAAUUUUUCCCCUGCCCAAGUCACAGGCUUGGUAGUAACCAUCAUGUUUACUGCUGUUCCUUCACAUGUGGUUCUCUGAGGCUUCUGAGCACCAGAAUUUUAUUAAACAGAGCUACUCACACCAUAAAGAUGGAAUUCUGCCAGAUCUGAAUCAUAGAAUAACACCAGAAUUGACUUCAGAAAUCAUCUUCUCUAAAGAUUUGCAAGAUUUUUAAACAGCACAUGCCUUUGUAAAAUGAAAUCAUCAGUGGAACACCGUAUAUAAAAUAAAAUUAAUAAAAACUACUAUGGCUGGAGAGGUGAAACUCUAACAUAUUACACAGUCUCCUGGGUUUUUUUGCAGAUAUUAAGGAUCCACUGAACCAUUUGAAAACUACCCUAUAUACUCCCCCUUUCCAGUGCUUCAGUCCCUUCUAUAGUAAUCACCACUGGAUUGUUCAGUCUUUCAAUAUUUUCAGUGGUGCCUAUCCUCCCAAGAAAGGCCAUCUUAAUUUGGGACAGCUUUAACUGUCUAUUUGGAAAAUCAUUCUUAUAUUUUAAUGGUCUCCUUGUAACCUCUAUUUAUUGUUACUAGAACAGAACUAGACUGUGCUCUAUUCCAUCUAAGUAUUGGGGUCAAUGAUCAUAUUCCUCCACAAACUUAUAGUUUUUUUACAAACUAAAUAUCCCCUGAUUUUUUCAACUUUAUCACAGUGUGAGAAUAUGUGGGCCUAAUCUCUUUAUUCUAAUUUCUUUCCUUUGAACUUGCUUCACUUUGUCAAUGUCAGUUUUAAUUUGUGUGCCUAGAACUGUAAAAAGUAAUCCCUAUGUUGACUGUAAUCAUCAACUCUUUCACUUUGAACAUUCUACCCCUGUUAAUUUGGCCUAUAAUUGAAUUUGAUUUGGGGAAAACUUGUCGGAGCUUAGCCAACUAAAUCCCCAAUAUCAUCCUUGAAUAUGCUACUGCAGAACCAAAUCUCCCAUAUUACA